AGUAAAUAGAUACCCAGGUAGUCCACGCUGUAAACGAUGGGCACUCGAUUUGGUGGGUCUUGACCCCGCCGAGUCUGAGCUAAACGACGAUAAGUGCCCGCCUGGAAGUACGGUCGCAAGACUAAACUACAAGGAAUUGACGGGGCCCGGCACAAGCGGUGGAUCAUGUGGUUUAAAUUCGAAGCAACGCGAAGAACCUUACCUGGGUUUGACAUCCUCUGACAGCCGUAGAGAUACGGUUUUCCGGGUCAACCGGACAGAGUGACAGGUGCUGCAUGGCUGUCGUCAGCUCGUGUGGUGACAUGUUGGGUUAAGUCCCGCAACGAGCGCAACCCUUGUCCUUAGUUGCCAGCAUUAAGUUGGGCUCUCUAAGGAGACUGCCGUGGUGAACACGGAGGAAGGUGGGGAUGACGUCAAGUCCUCAUGGCCUUUAUAUCCAGGGCGACACACGUGAUACAAUGGUCGGUACAGAGGGAAGCCAAAGCGCGAGCUGGAGCUAAUCUCAAAAACGCCGAUCUCAGUUCGG
rnacentral:rRNA from 1 species